GGGGCCGUGGUGUAGAGGCCUAACAUGCCUCCCUGUCACGGAGGAGAUCGCCGGUUCGAAUCCGGUCGGCCCCGCCA
rnacentral:tRNA from 1 species